ACAGCUCAUAGUAAUUUUCUCGUGUCUUAAUUACCAUGCGCAUGAUAUUUUGAUGUUACUCAAUUCGUGUUCUUGAAAUUACUAUGCCCAUGGUAAUGUUGAAACACCGUCAUUUGUGUUGUCAAAAAUACUAUGCGCAUUAUAAUUCAUAGUAAUUUUACUAUGUGCUUCGUUCGAGUGUUUGUUUUUUACGGGUCAGCCGUUCGCGAUUUCGGAACGCGAACAAAAAUUAUCGGAUUGUCGGUUUGUCGGAUCGGGAAAUGUAUUCCCUCAGAUUUCCCAGAUUGUGUCGUCGACCAGCUGGAAAGGUUCUCAACGAGCUCUGAACCAACGCACCCGGAGCGGGACAGCAGAUUAGUCUGGACGGAAAUUUUUCAGUGUCGGUGAAUGCGCUCGAGUUCCUCAACCUCCCUCGAUUUCGGAAAUUGGACAACGUCGGAGGACAUUGUGACGAAAGCUGCUAACCGGUGAGAUGGCCCACUGUUUGCGGAACGCAAUUUCAGUACAUCUGCCGGGCCGUUAAAUGCAGGCUUUCGGACGCUAAGUGUGAUGCAACCCCUGUGUCCCAUUCGUGGGUGGUGCAGGUGCUACCACCAUGAAUUGAACUAUAAUGAAAAAUAAUUUAAUUAAAUAAAAAUUUUAAUUUGGAACAAAUGAAUUUUAUUUCGAG